UACUCAGUGCACAUCCACCACAGAGGUAUGGACCCCAGACAUCCUGCUGCAUACAGGGUGGAUGUCUGGGGUCCAUACCUCUGUGGU